rnacentral:misc_RNA from 1 species
CCGAGCUCGCGCCCCCGGGGCCGACCUCCCACCCUUUGUCUACCGUACCCGUGUUGCUUUGGCGGGCCGCCCUCGUGGCCACCGGCCCCCCGCUGGUGAGCGCCCGCCGGAGACCCAAACCCAGUCUGCUGUCCGUGGCAUUGUCUGACCAAACCUGAAAUCGUUA